AUGCUGAUACACUUAUCCCCCCACCACAACAUCACACAGACCAUUCAACACACUCCUCACGUCCUCUGGCCACACAGUAAAUACACACAUACCACAGAGCUCAUGUCUGGGCUGGCCUGGUGCCCUCCUCUGGGCUUCUGCCCCCAGCCUUGGCAUUUUACCCCCCAUUAAGGGCAGGGACCAAUCCAUCUCCAUUUUCCUCCAUUUCAGCUCAGGGCCCUGCACCAAGUCUCUCCCAGUUAUUGCUUGGAGCUGGACCCCUCCCACAGUCACCACUGUCACAGUCCCACCUUCUUCAAGGUCUCAAACACCCCUCCCCUGUUUCUGGCAGAAGCCGUCCUCACUCCCUCUAUUGCCUCUCCAGGCCCAGACUUCCACCCUCAGGUCACCCUCACCUGGGCUUUGGGGUGCCACAUACCCUGCCCCAGGCCCUGGCCUCUGGAAUGGCUGGUGACUGGAACUGGGCCAGAGGGUUAAGCUCAUGUCUGUCUGGAGCCUCAACUUUCUUCUCUGUAAAAUGGGCUAACACUGAAAGCACCUUGCAGAAUCUCAGCAGCGUCACAGUCGACAUUGUUAGCGCGGCCAGCAGACUCCUGCUGGGCUGAGUUUGUGGGUAACCCAAGUCUGAGCAGGUACAGUUCCUCCCUCAGAGCCCGGGACACAGUGAGCAUACAAUAGACAUUAGCUGCCAUGGUCUCUUGAUUUCAAGCCCAGUGCAGGUGCAUGUGACUCAUGAAACUUCAGUGACAUCUGCUCUGUGCCAGACACUGAAGAUGGAGCAGCGAACAGCACUGACCCAACCUGCCCUCUUGUUGCCUACAGGCCAGAAACGAGGUCUCGCUGUGUUACCCGGGCUGGAGUGCAGUGGCUACUUACAGGCAUGAUCAUAGCACACUGCAGCCUCGAACUCCUGGACUAAAGCAGUUCUCCUGCCUCAGCCUCCAAAGCAGCUGGGACUGCAGACACGCACCACAGACAGAGCCCAGCCUGAGUCAUUCUGAUUCUGUAACUGGCUUCCUCUCGGUGAGCUGGCUCACACCCUCCACCCCCAGCUGGAGAAGGAAAGAGGAUGCUCACCGUUCAUUCCUCAUGCAGGCCAUCGAUGGAAAUGUCAGAUAGUGCGAGUCCACGCCUGAACACCUCUGGGGUCCGCUCUGGGACUGACACUGGCAGAUUCAUCGAUGAGCUCCCGCCUGCCACCUCUGGGCCUGCAUUGCGGUGAUAUGGCCAAGGGCCUGGGUCUUCAAUUCUCCAGACUUGCCGAAUGCACAGCGCAGGCUUCGUCGGCAACUGCAGACAAGCAGAGGCAGCACCUGGGCUCUGCCUGUGCCUGGUACAGUGAGGCGAGGGUGGGGGUAGGAAUGAGGGUCCUCUCCGUGCAAGGGGGGAAGAUAGAAGAACAGAAUUUCACCCUAACAUAGUGUCUUUAGACCAUGAAAUGCUGUGCUCCUGUUAGUCUGAUAUCAGGGGCUUGCAGCCUGGCAAGGGAAAAGAAAAACAGGCUGAGGCACGUGAUAGAAGACAGGCAGGGAUGCCACAAUCAUAACCAUGGCAAAGACUAGGAUCAGACAGGCCCACCAUCUCUGACCCCAAAUCCCUGGGCAGAUGGUUCCAGAACUCAGAAUUUUCCCAGUUUUAGAAAGAUGGGGCCAGGUGCAGUGGCUCACACCUGUAAUCCCAGCACUUUGGGAGGACGAGGUGGGUGGAUCACCUGAGGUCAGGAGUUCGAGACCAGCCUGGCCAACAUGGUGAAACCCUGUUUCUACUAAAAAUGCAAAAAACGACAAAAAAAAAAAAAAAACUUAGCCGGGUGUGGUGGUGCAUGCCUGUAAUCCCAGCUGCUUGGGAGGCUGAGGCAGGAGAAUUCCUUGAACCCGGGAGGCGGAGGUUGCAGUGAGCCAAGAUCGAGCCACUGCACUCCAGUCCGGGCAACAGAGCGAGAGUCCAUUCCCCCUCC